UUCAAGGCGUGGAUAAUGGCGGUAAGUUUCAAGUUGUGGGUGGGGUAAUUUUUUUCAUGACACUUCAACUAUGUGGACCCAUAGGUUAUGACUUUGUCAUGUUGUAUCAGAACACAACCUAACCUCAAAUAAUAAGCAUAACUGUACACUGUAUAUCCACCUGUCCCACUUGGUAAGGCCAACAUAGGUGUAGUAGUCAACUGCUUCUUAAGUUAUGUAAAGCUCAU
rnacentral:lncRNA from 1 species